UAAUUGUAAGGGGCUUUAUUAAGGCCGGUUACUAAUAUUAGCGCCCACCACUCACGCUUCACUUUGAUUUUUUUGUUUAAAAAAAAUUUAAACAAAAAAAAUAGUUUUAAAAAAAAAAUAGUUGGUACUUGCCUACUAGUCUGCGCUUCUUUUGCCUACACACCUUUAUUUACUUUCUUUUUUUUGGUUUUUACUUAUCCCCAAUUCCCAAUUUUACAGAAAGAAAACAUUGAAGAACCCUAACUUCUUACUGACUUCCUCUCCCCUCACUCUCAUUCAAGGACCGGCACUGCUCUCAGAUCGACGUUGGCCGCACUCCGCCGACGGCCGACCGGUGCUAGCCUGCUUGCCUUUAGCCUUCUCUGAGUUCUCUCUCUUCGACAAAGCAAAACUCUAGUCUCCAAGUUUAGUUUUUAAUUAAUCUAUUUUUUUUUAAUUGUUAAUUGAAAUUGUGAGUUCAUUCAUUUGUGAAUAUGUGAUUUUCUGAAUGUAAUUUAUUUUGACGGAUCAUUUCCUCUGAAACUGCUCUACUCCUCCAAAACUGCUCCGGAGCUCCUCCAAACUCAAUCAUGGAAGUUAUCAACAAGUAGCAGAUUGGGGGCAAGGGGUUCGAUCGCAAGAGAGAGAAACCGGAAUAUGUAAUUCCUCACCAUCAUUGGCGAGUAGUGGGAUGAUUUCGAAAUCGUUGUAUGUAGCAGAAGAGCACGUUGCUGCUGGGUGGCGUACUUGGCUUGUCGCCGUUGCAAGGGGGUUAUCUAAGGGUGGGUCCGUAGCGAGAUGAUUUAUUGAGAAGUUAAAUAAGAAAACUUGCUGAAAGUGCCUUAUAACAAAACUAUUGAUUGGGUUAAGUGGUAUAUUUUUUGGACUGAUGAGCAUGUGGUAGAAAAGAGCCAUGCUGACAGCAAUUACAAGCUAGCAGGACAGUCUCUUGACCAAGUUAUUGAAUGCUCCUAUUUUGUGGAACUGGCUUCAUAUCUGAGGACCUAGUUUGCGGGUUUUCUUGGAAUAGUUGUAAGGCUAAAUUAAUGAGUGACCAUAACUCUAAGGAUUCUGUCGUAAUAUCAAGUGCUCAGUGUGAACUGCUACAAUCCAUACAGAACAGUCAAAUUUGUGAAGCAGACGGAGACAAAAUUGACAAAAUCGUCAAAAUUUGAAGGUUGACCAUUGUAUCAAUUAACUAACUAGGUUUUUUUUUUUUAAUUUUUUUUUAGUUAUAGAGUAUUAUUUAGUGUGAAUUGUGAGAGAAAUAUUUGUAAUUUACACAAGUACAUCAAUUCAAUAUAAUUUACAAGAUGUCGCUUAAAGUUGGUCUUA